rnacentral:lncRNA from 1 species
GCGCGCGCCGCGACCGUUAACAGCUGUGGGUGCACGCGCCGCGACCGUUAACGGCCGCCUCUGUGUGAGGAGAGGCUGGGCGGGCUUCGCGUCCACAGCAGCUCCCGCGCAACAGCCGUCUCCGCGUUGAGGGACGAGGGAAGCGAUGCUCGCAGCUCACACACAGCCCUCCGAGAUGCCUCUGUUGGUGCUGUUGCAGAUGUCUGGACUUCAAAAUCCGUUCCUCUGCUUGCUUUGUGCCAAUUCCUGUUUUUGGAUUCAGGGGACAACCCUUAGGGUGAAGUUGUCAUGAAUUCAGCUACUCAGUUGUCAUCUUCACUGGAGCUGGUUGAGUCAUUCCCACAUGAACCUUCAUCAAACAAUAAUCAGUGAUCAGAAAGGCAUCUGAAGAAAAUCAUUGAUGAGAUGGAAGAAUUGAUAACUGGAAUCAGAUCAGAAGGGUGUUUGAAGAAAUAAGUGAAAGCAAAUUGUGGUUCUCGUUCUUUCUACUUAAGGGUAAUAAAAUAGGUAGUUUACCCACAGGUUGCUGAGUUUUGAGCAUGAUACUAAUGCAUGAGAUGGUGAAUUUGUGACAGGCAGG